UGUCCCCAGCUGUGUGUCCAUGAAGAGUGACCAGUCCAUGGGUAAACUAGUAAACUUUGGAGGACACUCCUCUGAUCAGAAUCCACUUGAUGUGAAGAGGCCAGACUCCCCUGUCCCCAGCUGUGUGUCCAUGAAGAGUGACCAGUCCAUGGGUAAACUAGUAAACUUUGGAGGACACUCCUCUGAUCAGAAUCCACUUGAUGUGAAGAGGCCAGACUCCCCUGUCCCCAGCUGUGUGUCCAUGAAGAGUGAUCAGUCCAUGGGU